GCUAUUUGAGUGUGAAAAACCAUACGGUUAUCCAUUGUUCACUAGCGUUACCGAGAUCACGUCUCCAACGCUUAUUAAACACUACACGCUAUACACAAGGUGACAUCGCUUUAAGACUUCUGCCAGUCUACCAGCUAGGCAGGAAGACAUUCGCGACCAAGCUUCACUGAGACCAGAAAGUCCUUCAUUUACUUGCAGCCUAGGAGUUUCCAUUUAGCUUGGCAAAUUUGUCAGAGGAUGGGCAGGGGGGGAGAGAGAGAGAACAAGAGAGGAAUAUCCUGGAGUGCUGGAUAUGAGGGAGGAUGUAAAGGAUGCAUUGAAUGCACCAUUUACCAUGGCAGAGAUGAAAAGGACAAUAGGUAAGGCUGGGUUAACUUCAACUGGGAAAGAUGAGGUGUGCUAUGUUAAGUUGUCCCAUCUUAGUGAUGAGGCACUGGCUAAGGUUUUGGUGUUGUACAACAAAAUCAAAUUUAAUUUGUCACAUGCGCUGAAUACAACAGGUGUAGGUAGACCUUACAAGCCCUUAACCAACAAUGCGGUUAAGAAAAUACCCCCAAAAAGAGAAGAAUAACAAAUUAUUAAAGAGCAGCGGUAAAUAACAAUAGCGGGGCUAUAUACAGGGGUUACCGGUACAGAGUCAAUGUGCAGGGAUACCGGUGUCGAGGUAACAUGUACAUGUAGGU